UGGAGGAAGUGGUACUGAAGGUAAGGUAUGGAAGGAGGAUGGAGGAAGUGGUACUGAAGGUAAUGUAUGGAAGGAGGAUGGAGGAAGUGGUACUGAAGGUAAUGUAUGGAAGGAGGAGGGAGGAGGAUGGAGGAAGUGGUACUGAAGGUAAUGUAUGGAAGGAGGAGGAUGGAGGAAGUGGUACUGAAGGUAAUGUAUGGAAGGAUGAGGGGAGAGGAUGGAGGAAGUGGUACUGAAGGUAAUGUAUGGAAGGAGGAGGGGGGAGGAUGGAGGAAGUGGUACUGAAGGUAAUGUAUGGAAGGAGGAGGG
ensembl:lncRNA